CAAAACGUAGCUUAAAUAAAGCAUCUCGCUUACACCGAGAAUAUAUCUGUUCGACCCAGAUCGCUUUGA
rnacentral:tRNA from 1 species